rnacentral:rRNA from 1 species
UGCGUAGGCGGGGCAAUUAGUCAGUGGUGAAAUCCUGCGGCUUAACCGUAGAACUGCCAUUGAUACUGUUGCCCUUGAGUAUAGUUGAAGUGGGCGGAAUAUGUAAUGUAGCGGUGAAAUGCAUAGAGAUUACAUAGAACACCAAUUGCGAAGGCAGCUCACUAAGCUAUCACUGACGCUGAGGCACGAAAGCAUGGGGAGCAAACAGGAUUAGAUACCCUGGUAGUCC